GGGAACUCUGACACAGGUGCUGCAUGGCUGUCGUCAGCUCGUGUCGUGAGAGUGUUCGGGUUAAGUCCCGUAACGAGCGCAACCCUUGUCCUUAGUUACCAGCACGUUAUGGUGGGCACUCUAAGGAGACUGCCGGUGACAAACCGGAGGAAGGUGGGGAUGACGUCAAGUCAUCAUGGCCCUUACGGCCUGGGCUACACACGUGCUACAAUGGUCGGUACAAAGGGUUGCCAAGCCGCGAGGUGGAGCUAAUCCCAUAAAACCGAUCGUAGUCCGGAUCGCAGUCUGCAACUCGACUGCGUGAAGUCGGAAUCGCUAGUAAUCGUGAAUCAGAAUGUCACGGUGAAUACGUUCCCGGGCCUU
rnacentral:rRNA from 1 species